UCGGGGUCUGAUUGGCUGGCGCGGUGCCUCUUUUCCACGUCUGCUCCUGAUUGGCUCUCGCGCACACCCUUCCCGGGAGAACCGCUCACCCUCCACUCUUCUUCAGCCUCCCACCCCAAACCAGAUGUAGCCAGCACCAUAUCUUCCUGCAUGCCACCAUGUUCCAAGCCAUGAUGAUAAUGGACUGAACCUCUGAAACUUAAAAUAAAUGGCAGGUUUUGUAUUAGAAGGAGAAGAAGGAAGAGGAGGAAGAAGAAAAGAAAAACAAACAUCAACUUGACAAAUAAAUACACCACCACUGACCUGACUCCCAGCUUGUAAUCUACUUUUGUGUGUUGUUUUACUUCAUUCCUUAAAGUUGUCUAUUAUAUUCAUUGAAAUCUUUAUGAAAUAUUUUCAGAGAUUUCAUAUUUGCCGAGACACUAUCCUCCUUCAUGUGAUACUAACUUUUAAUAAAGACAGCAUUUCUUAUUGCUCCAUCCUAUUGAGUGCUCUUGACAUUUAUUUCAAGCAUCAAUUGUUACCAAUA
rnacentral:lncRNA from 1 species